rnacentral:rRNA from 1 species
GAUCCUGGCUCAGGAUGAACGCUAGGGGCAGGCCUAACACAUGCAAGUCGAGGGGCAGCACGAUGUAGCAAUACACUGGUGGCGACCGGCGCACGGGUGCGUAACGCGUAUGCAACCUACCCAUAACAGUGGGAUAACACUGAGAAAUUGGUACUAAUACCCCAUAACAUCAGGACCGGCAUCGGUUCUGGUUGAAAACUCCGGUGGUUAUGGAUGGGCAUGCGUUGUAUUAGCUGGUUGG